GUGCAAGUGCUUGAUUUUUGGUUCACAAGAGAAAAGUCAAAUGUAUAUUUCCAUUCUAACUCUGUAUCUGUGUAUCUCUAGCUCCUCUUCUCCACAGGUUUUUGUUAAAAGCUGAGAAUCAGACUGUUCCGCUGUGCAUCAAAGCACAGCGGAACAGUCAGUGGUGCUCUCAGCCUUAAACUUAUUCAUCAUCCCAGCAGAGCCGAAACAUGACACCAGCAUGUUGAGAUUGACACCAAAGGGGUCACUGUACGAGAUGGACAGACAGAAAGACAUCUCACUGGAAAGGAUCUCGUCACUGCUGGAAGUGUCACAGUGAGUAUACGCAACAAUAAAAUAGACAUUGCAGCAGGAGACAUGCGCCUGGUUGUUUUAGUUCAUGAGAAGAACAGCAUUAAAUUUCUUUGGCCAGUUUUAAGACAGCAUCCCUCGGCCAACAACACUGAUGGACUUUUAGUGGCAAUGCCAGUGACUAUAGCAUUGCCUCUCCUCUCAUGAUGAACUGCUGGCUCACAUCUGCUGACUCUGCCUUGCAGAGACCACUGGCCGAUUUCGUUGUUCCACAACUUUAACUGGAAACUGUGAGAAAAUAUUUCAUUUGAGAAGAGACUACGGAAAAUACUUGCAACACCUGUUUCCAGCAUGAACAAAUAAACAUAUCUUGGAUUGUUUAAUAACUCACAAAUUUUAUUUUACUGAAAAAACUGUAUAAAGUCAGAAUAAUACAUCCAACUGUGUGAAUUUCAUUAAAAAUAAAGAUGAACAAAAAUGACCCAAAAUACACACAGUUGACCGUUAUAAUAAUAGUACACCUUGUACCUAAAUACAAUCUACAAGUUAAAAUCUUGUCAGUUUAAACUGAUUUGUCUAAAUGAAAACCAUUUGGAGUCUCUGUUAAGCACCACAUCAUUAGCAAAGAAAAUACUUAGAAAUGUAAAAUUACUAGAAUUCUCCUUUAGAAAGGUUCCAUAUUUGUAUAUUGUCAUUGUUUUACUAUUUUCUCUUAUGCAGUAGUUUUCUUUGUGCUUUGUAACAUCUGUGUUUAAAUCUAUUCCUUAUAAUGACAACUAGACAUGUGAUUGCUUUUGCUUUCUGAAUCAUCUGUUUUCUCAGCACCUUCCUGACCUCAUCAGUCUUAAAAAUAGAUUAAUUUUUGUUUGACAUAUACUUUAUAACAGCCACAUACUAGUUUCACAAUUAGUGCUAAGAUCUGCGACUUUAAUUUCUCAAAACAUUGUUCCAUGUUACAAAUUGGUGGAAACUGUUAGAUUUUACAUAAAUUGGUGCUGUGGGGAGUGUUUUAUGUAAGUGGGUGUUUGUUAUGUUUGGUGGUGAUAGAGGAGAGAAAUGAAAGAUUUUCCUUUUGAAAAAAUGUGUACAUAGUAAUACUGUAGUUUUGAGUUCAAACAGCAGUUUCCACUGCCUUGCACUAGUAGGA
ensembl:lncRNA